rnacentral:lncRNA from 1 species
CACACACAGACACGAACCAGCGCCGAAACUGGAGUCACUGGUUUCUUCAGCUCCUCAAUUUCCUUAUCCCAAUUCUUAAACCACCGUCGUACGAGUAGGUACAUACUCUUAUUUAAAAGGUAAAAUAGUGUUUUAAAGCCUUCAUUGUAAAAUAUUUGUUGUACCUCUGAUAGGAAUCAAUUUUGGUGGCCUUGAAUAGUCUUAGAAUAGUCUGUUAUGUGGCACUCAAUUCCACUCAAGUUGUCUCUAAAACAUUAUCAGAGCGUAAUUGAUAGAG